rnacentral:rRNA from 1 species
AGAGUUUGAUCCUGGCUCAGGAUGAACGCUAGCGACAGGCUUAACACAUGCAAGUCGAGGGGCAGCAUGAUUUGUAGCAAUACAGAUUGAUGGCGACCGGCGCACGGGUGAGUAACGCGUAUGCAACUUACCUAUCAGAGGGGGAUAGCCCGGCGAAAGUCGGAUUAAUACCCCAUAAAACAGGGGUCCCGCAUGGGAAUAUUUGUUAAAGAUUCAUCGCUGAUAGAUAGGCAUGCGUUCCAUUAGGCAGUUGGCGGGGUAACGGCCCACCAAACCGACGAUGGAUAGGGGUUCUGAGAGGAAGGUCCCCCACAUUGGAACUGAGACACGGUCCAAACUCCUACGGGAGGCAGCAGUGAGGAAUAUUGGUCAAUGGCCGAGAGGCUGAACCAGCCAAGUCGCGUGAAGGAAGAAGGAUCUAUGGUUUGUAAACUUCUUUUAUAGGGGAAUAAAGUGGAGGACGUGUCCUUUUUUGUAUGUACCCUAUGAAUAAGCAUCGGCUAACUCCGUGCCAGCAGCCGCGGUAAUACGGAGGAUGCGAGCGUUAUCCGGAUUUAUUGGGUUUAAAGGGUGCGUAGGUGGUGAUUUAAGUCAGCGGUGAAAGUUUGUGGCUCAACCAUAAAAUUGCCGUUGAAACUGGGUUACUUGAGUGUGUUUGAGGUAGGCGGAAUGCGUGGUGUAGCGGUGAAAUGCAUAGAUAUCACGCAGAACUCCGAUUGCGAAGGCAGCUUACUAAACCAUAACUGACACUGAAGCACGAAAGCGUGGGGAUCAAACAGGAUUAGAUACCCUGGUAGUCCACGCAGUAAACGAUGAUCACUAGCUGUUUGCGAUACACUGUAAGCGGCACAGCGAAAGCGUUAAGUGAUCCACCUGGGGAGUACGCCGGCAACGGUGAAACUCAAAGGAAUUGACGGGGGCCC